rnacentral:rRNA from 1 species
AUUGAACGCUGGCGGCGUGCUUAACACAUGCAAGUCGUACGUGAACGGGGCUUCGGCCCUUAGUAAAGUGGCGCACGGGUGAGUAACACGUGGAUAAUCUGCCCUUAUGAUCGGGAUAACAGUCGGAAACGGCUGCUAAUACCGGAUACGCUCAAAAUGAACUUUUUGAGGAAAGGUGACCUCUGCUUGCAAGUUACUGCAUGAGGAUGAGUCCGCGGCCCAUUAGCUAGUUGGUAGGGUAACGGCCUACCAAGGCAACGAUGGGUAGCCGAUUUGAGAGGAUGAUGGGCCACACGGGAACUGAAACACGGUCCAGACUUCUACGGGAGGCAGCAGUGGGGAAUAUUGCGCGAUGGGCGAAAGCCUGACGCAGCGACGCCGCGUGAGGGAUGAAGGUUUUCGGAUCGUAAACCUCUGUCAGAAGGGAAGAAACCGCACCGUGCUAAUCAGCGGUGCAUUGACGGUACCUUCAAAGGAAGCACCGGCUAACUCCGUGCCAGCCGCCGCAGUAA